GUCGUUUGACUUAGGUAAACCGAAAUCACAAUAAUCAAUCGCCCUAUCCUGUGGAAUUGUUUAGAAAAUUAGUACUACCUGAAUUCGCCGUUCUAAGUUUUCUAAUAUAAGUCGAAAUUGAUUUAGCAAUAAUUAUAUUACCUAAUGGCUAAUUCCUGUUUAAAUAAAGUCCCUUUGCAUUAAGAUAGGUUGCAUCAACAGUAAUUUUGGUAACCAUGUGAUCAAAAAUGUCAUUCACCAGAUUUACUUUGACUUAACGAUUUGGCUUAUCAAUUCGGCACUGCAAUACAAAAAUAUUAAAUUAAACGUUCACUCAAACAUGUCUGUUUUAAUAAUCUUUAGAUGUCAACGAAUGUGCUUUAUUUCUUCACAACUGUCAUUCCAACGCUUCUUGUACUAAUACUGAUGGAUCUUUUCUUUGUACAUGUGAUGGUGGAUAUACUGGAAAUGGAACUGUUUGCGAAGGUAAAUUGGUACCAUACAAUUUGACUCUGCAUGCUCUUUAAGAGGGAAAUCUCCCACACAGAAAUGAGAUAUCUGCUCUUUGCUGAUUUUUGUUGAUCACGUUGUUGCAAAAAUGUGCGCUUGCGUAUGCACGAACUCAAGAAACAACCCUCGUUUUUUUUAUACACUACCGGAUCAGUUUGUCAAAAAUUUUCAAGUCGAGUUUUGUACCGUUUUAUCCUGUAUACUUUUAUCUUAAUGUUUUCAGAUGAGAUAAUCUAAUUGUCGCGGGUCGCGGGUUUUAUUCGCGGGUCGACGGAACAAAAGAAGCCCGCUAUAUAACAUGCUGUACAAAGGCUGAUUAUGACAAGAAGUUGUUGGCAUGCAACAUUUGAGAAUAGUGAAACUGGCAAAGCAGUUGCAGUAUUUACUUCCUGGCGUCGUUCU